rnacentral:rRNA from 1 species
AGCAGCCGCGGUAAUUCCAGCUCCAAUAGCGUAUAUUAAAGUUGCUGCAGUUAAAAAGCUCGUAGUUGAAUUUCGGGACCAAUAUGUCGGUCGUGCCUCGGUACGUACUGGCAUCGUUGGUUUCUCCUUUCUGAAGAACCAUGAUGUCAUUUAUUUGGUGUCGUGGGGAAUCAGGACUGUUACUUUGAAAAAAUUAGAGUGUUUAAAGCAGGCUCACGCUUGAAUACAUUAGCAUGGAAUAAUGAAAUAGGACGUUUGAUUCUAUUUUGUUGGUUUCUAGGAUCGACGUAAUGAUUAAUAGGGAUAGUUGGGGGCAUUAGUAUUCAAUUGUCAGAGGUGAAAUUCUUGGAUUUAUUGAAGACUAACUACUGCGAAAGCAUUUGCCAAGGAUGUUUUCAUUAAUCAAGAACGAAAGUUAGGGGAUCGAAGACGAUCAGAUACCGUCGUAGUCUUAGCCAUAAACUAUGCCGACUAGGGAUCGGAUGAUGUUAAUUUUUUAAUGACUCAUUCGGCGCCUUACG